rnacentral:rRNA from 1 species
UACGUAGGGUGCAAGCGUUAAUCGGAAUUACUGGGCGUAAAGCGUGCGCAGGCGGUCCGUUAAGACAGAUGUGAAAUCCCCGGGCUUAACCUGGGAACUGCAUUGUGACUGUAGAGCUGGAGUACGGCAGAGGGGGAUGGAAUUCCGCGUGUAGCAGUGAAAUGCGUAGAUAUGCGGAGGAACACCGAUGGCGAAGGCAAUCCCCUGGGCCUGUACUGACGCUCAUGCACGAAAGCGUGGGGAGCAAACAGG